CCUACGGGAGGCAGCAGUGAGGACUAUUGGUCAAUGGCCGGAAGGCUGAACCAGCCAUGCCGCGUGAAGGUCAGUGCCCUAUGGGCGUUAAACUUCUUUUGUGCGGGAGCAAUAAUGGUCACGUGUGGCCAGACGAGAGUACCGUACGAAUAAGCAUCGGCUAACUCCGUGCAAGCAGCCGCGGUAAUACGGGGGAUGCAAGCGUUAUGCGGAUUUAUUGGGUUUAACGGGUGCGUAUGCUGUGAGGUAAGUCAGCGGUGAAAUGCCCCCGCUCAACGGGGUGAAGUGCCAUUGAUACUGCCUUGCUGGAAUGCGGAUGCCGUGGGAGGAAUGUGUGGUGUAGCGGUGAAAUGCAUAGAUAUCACACAGAACACCGAUUGCGAAGGCAUCUCACGAAUCCGCGAUUGACGCUGAUGCACGAAAGCGUGGGUAUCAAACAGGAUCAGAUACCCUAGUAGUC
rnacentral:rRNA from 1 species